rnacentral:rRNA from 1 species
AUUGCACGCUGGCGGCAGGCCUAACACAUGCAAGUCGAACGAGUGGCGGACGGGUGAGUAAUGUCUGGGAAACUGCCUGAUGGAGGGGGAUAACUACUGGACACAGUAGCUAAUACCGCAUACCAUCGGAUGUGCCCAGAUGGGAUUAGCUAGGAGGUGGGUUAACGGCUCACCUAGGCGACGAGCCCUAGCUUGUCUGAGAGGAGGACCAGCCACAAUGGAACUGAGACCCGGUCCAUACUCCGACGGGAGGCAGCAGUGGGGAAUAUUGCACAAGGGGCGCAAGCCGGACGCAGCCAUGCCGCUUGUAUGAAGAAGGCCUUCGGGUUGUAAAGUACUUUCAGCGAGGAGGCGUUACUCGCAGAAGAAGCACCGGCUAACUCCGUGCCAGCAGCCGCGGUAAUAC